UCAAUGUUGCUUUGUUGGUAC
rnacentral:siRNA from 1 species